rnacentral:rRNA from 1 species
UAACACGUGGUGAAUCUGCCCUGUGGAAUCCUAUAAUCCCGGGAAACUGGGACGAAUGGGGUAUAUUUGAGGUCGUCUGGAAUGAUACCUCUUUGAAAGGAGCCUAACCAGUUUGGUUUCCGCCACAGGAUGACACCGCGGCCGAUUACGCUAGAUGGCGGGGCAACGGCCCACCAUGGCUUUGGUCGGUACCGGCAGUGUGAGCUGGAGCCGGGAGACAAGUACUGAAACAAGGACUUGAGCCCUACGGGGUGCAGCAGGCGAGAAAACUCCGCAAUGCGGGCAACCGUGACGGGGCUAAUCGAAGUGCCAAUUCUAAAAAAGUUGGCUGUGGCGGGAUAUACACAGUCCCGCAAGAAAGGAGAGGGCAAGGCUGGUGCCAGCCGCCGCGGUAAAACCAGCUCUUCAAGUGUUCAGGACUAUUAUUGAGCUUAAAGCACUCGUAGCGGGUCUCGCAAGUCCCUGAUUAAAUCCAGGUGCUUAACAUCUGGGCCGCUAGGGAUACUACGAGACUUGGGAGCGGAAGAGGUGUCCGGUACUUAUGGGGUAGCGGUGAAAUGCGAUAAUCCCAUGAGGACCACCGGUGGCGAAGGCGGGACACUAGGACGCGUCCGACCGUGAUGGGUGAAAGCCUGGGGAGCGAACCGGAUUAGAUACCCGGGUAGUCCAGGCCGUAAACGAUGCCCGUUAGGUGUGGCAUUUGCCACGAGCAAAUGCCGUGCCGAAGCGAAAGCGUUAAACGGGCCGCUUGGGAAGUACGGUCGCAAGGCUGAAACUUAAAGG